rnacentral:rRNA from 1 species
UACGUAGGGUGCAAGCGUUAAUCGGAAUUACUGGGCGUAAAGCGUGCGCAGGCGGUUGUGUAAGACAGAUGUGAAAUCCCCGGGCUCAACCUGGGAACUGCAUUUGUGACUGCACAGCUGGAGUGCGGCAGAGGGGGAUGGAAUUCCGCGUGUAGCAGUGAAAUGCGUAGAUAUCUGGAGGAACACCGGUGGCGAAGGCGGCAUCCUGGACCAACACUGACGCUGAGUGAGCGAAAGCCAGGGGAGCAAACGGG